rnacentral:lncRNA from 1 species
UCAGUAUUGGAAUGGCUAUAACUGGAAUUGUGUUUUAUUCAAUGGACCUAACAUAUUUGCCUCUUUCUAACAACUGUAAGAAAGUAUAUGGAUAUGGAAACGGAUAUGGGUAUGGACAUGGAGAUACGUAUGGAGAUAGAUAUCCUUAUUACAAGACUACAACAGCUUCACCCACAAUAAAUGACGUGAUUAAAAACUGUGAGCGCUACUUCUUCAUGUUUAAGGUGAUUUUCGGAGGACUGGACAUCAUAAUGAUCAUGUCUAGCAUCCUAGAAAUCUGCGUCACGAUCAGCUCAUGCGUUCUGUAUGUGAAGGCUCUGUGCAAGAAGAACAAAGAAGACCACAUGGAGGAUUCGGAGCUUCAGAAGCCCCUUGUGGAGGAAGUCCUUUCCAGCCCAGCAUGUUAGAAACACUACAAUACCCAGAAUUCUUAUGAUAACGUAAUUUAUAUUAAUAACUAUCUUUAUGUUACUGUACUGCAUAGUAAAAUGUAAUCCAACUAUAGUAAAAAGCUUCUUUAUUCUUAAAUCUUUUACAGAUAUUCUUUUUACUGCUGGUAGUAUCCCGUGCCGAAGAAGUCCACAGUGUCCUGCCUCAAUGACUACCGUCCCGUUGCNCGGCUAAUGCUACUGCUGCUGCACCCAGCCUUAGUGCUGGAGACACUUCACCCUUAUAACCCUGCACUUUAGCAGUGUGGCUUUACUGCUCCUUACAUCCUGACUGGU